UACGUAGGGUGCGAGCGUUGUCCGGAAUUAUUGGGCGUAAAGAGCUCGUAGGCGGUUUGUCGCGUCGACUGUGAAAACCCGAGGCUUAACCUCGGGCCUGCAGUCGAUACGGGCAGACUAGAGUUCGGUAGGGGAGGCUGGAAUUCCUGGUGUAGCGGUGAAAUGCGCAGAUAUCAGGAGGAACACCGGUGGCGAAGGCGGGUCUCUGGGCCGAUACUGACGCUGAGGAGCGAAAGCGUGGGGAGCGAACAGG
rnacentral:rRNA from 1 species